rnacentral:rRNA from 1 species
UACGUAGGGGGCGAGCGUUGUCCGGAGUUACUGGGCGUAAAGCGCUUGUAGGCGGUCCACCAAGUUUGGGGUGACAGUUGCCGACUUAAUCGGCAAAGUGCCUCAAAGACUGGCGGACUUGAGGGCCACAGAGGGACAUGGAACUCCAGGUGUAGUGGUGAGAUGCGUAGAUAUCUGGAAGAACACCAAAGGCGAAGGCAGUGUCCUGGGUGGUCGCUGACGCUGAGAGGCGAAAGCCAGGGGAGCGAACAGG